rnacentral:rRNA from 1 species
UACGAAGGGGGCUAGCGUUGCUCGGAAUCACUGGGCGUAAAGCGCACGUAGGCGGCUUCUUAAGUCAGGGGUGAAAUCCUGGAGCUCAAACUCCAGAACUGCCUUUGAUACUGGGAGGCUCGAGUCCGGGAGAGGUGAGUGGAACUGCGAGUGUAGAGGUGAAAUUCGUAGAUAUUCGCAAGAACACCAGUGGCGAAGGCGGCUCACUGGCCCGGUACUGACGCUGAGGUGCGAAAGCGUGGGGAGCAAACAGG